rnacentral:rRNA from 1 species
GAUUCAGCGGCGGACGGGUGAGUAAUGCCUAGGAAUCUGCCUAGUAGUGGGGGACAACGUUUCGAAAGGAACGCUAAUACCGCAUACGUCCUACGGGAGAAAGUGGGGGAUCUUCGGACCUCACGCUAUUAGAUGAGCCUAGGUCGGAUUAGCUAGUUGGUAGGGUAAAGGCCUACCAAGGCGACGAUCCGUAACUGGUCUGAGAGGAUGAUCAGUCACACUGGAACUGAGACACGGUCCAG